CCUACGGGAGGCAGCAGUGGGGAAUAUUGGACAAUGGGCGAAAGCCUGAUCCAGCAAUGCCGCGUGAGUGAUGAAGGCCUUAGGGUUGUAAAGCUCUUUUACCAGGGAUGAUAAUGACAGUACCUGGAGAAUAAGCUCCGGCUAACUCCGUGCCAGCAGCCGCGGUAAUACGGAGGGAGCUAGUCGUUGUUCGGAAUUACUGGGCGUAAAGCGUACGUAGGCGGUUAUUCAAGUCAGAGGUGAAAGCCUGGAGCUCAACUCCAGAACUGCCUUUGAAACUAGGUAGCUAGAAUCACGGAGAGGUUAGUGGAAUUCCGAGUGUAGAGGUGAAAUUCGUAGAUAUUCGGAAGAACACCAGUGGCGAAGGCGACUAACUGGACGUGUAUUGACGCUGAGGUACGAAAGCGUGGGGAGCAAACAGGAUUAGAUACCCUGGUAGUCCACGCCGUAAACGAUGAUAACUAGCUGUUCGGUCUCUACGAGACUGAGUGGCGCAGCUAACGCAUUAAGUUAUCCGCCUGGGGAGUACGGUCGCAAGAUUAAAACUUAAAGGAAUUGACGG
rnacentral:rRNA from 1 species